UCCUCUAAGACCAGCUACCCGUCUUCGCCUUGGUAGGCCGUUACCCUACCAACUAGCUGAUAGGACAUGAGCUCCUCCUCAAAGGACCGCCCCCAAAAGAGAGCUGCCUUUAACCCCUAGAGUCUCCUCUUGUGGUCUUAUCCGGUAUUAGCCCAACUUUCGCUGGGUUAUUCCCGCCUCAAGGGUAGAUUACUCAUGUAUUACGCACCCGUGGCGCACGA
rnacentral:rRNA from 1 species